CACGUAGGGCGCAAGCGUUGUCCGGAAUUAUUGGGCGUAAAGAGCUCGUAGGUGGUUUGCUGCGUCCGCUGUGAAAACCCAAGGCUUAACCUUGGGCUUGCAGUGGAUACGGGCAGACUAGAGGUAGGUAGGGGAGACUGGAAUUCCUGGUGUAGCGGUGAAAUGCGCAGAUAUCAGGAGGAACACCGGUGGCGAAGGCGGGUCUCUGGACCGAUACUGACGCUGAGGAGCGAAAGCGUGGGGAGCGAACAGG
rnacentral:rRNA from 1 species